rnacentral:rRNA from 1 species
UUCCGGUUGAUCCUGCCGGACCCGACUGCUAUCAGAGUGAGAUUAAGCCAUGCGAGUCAACGUAGCAAUACGUGGCACACGGCUCAGUAACACGUAGUCAACAUAACCAAAGGACGUGGAUAAUCUCGGGAAACUGAGGCUAAACCGCGAUAGACCAAGAUACCUGGAAUGGUUUUUGAUCAAAAUCUAUAUGGCCUUUGGAUUGGACUGCGACCGAUCAGGCUGUUGGUGAGGUAAUGGCCCACCAAACCUAUAACCGGUACGGGCUCUGAGAGGAGGAGCCCGGAGAUGGGUACUGAGACAAGGACCCAGGCCCUAUGGGGCGCAGCAGGCGCGAAACCUCUGCAAUAGGCGAAAGCCUGACAGGGUUACUCUGAGUGACUUUCGCUAAGAAAGUCUUUUGACAUCUGUAAAAAUGGUGUAGAAUAAGGGGUGGGCAAGUCUGGUGUCAGCCGCCGCGGUAAUACCAGCACCCCGAGUGGUCGGGACGAUUAUUGGGCCUAAAGCAUCCGUAGCCGGUUUUACAAGUCCUCCGUUAAAUCCAACUGCUUAACAGAUGGGCUGCGGAGGAUACUAUAAGACUAGGAGGCAGGAGAGGCAAGCGGUACUCAGUGGGUAGGGGUAAAAUCCGUUGAUCCAUUGAAGACCACCAGUGGCGAAGGCGGCUUGCCAGAAUGCGCUCGACGGUGAGGGAUGAAAGCUGGGGGAGCAAACCGGAUUAGAUACCCGGGUAGUCCCAGCUGUAAACGAUGCAGACUCGGUGAUGGACCAGCUUAAUGCUAGUCCAGUGCCGCAGGGAAGCCGUUAAGUCUGCCGCCUGGGUAGUACGGUCGCAAGACUGAAACUUAAAGGAAUUGGCGGGGGAGCACCACAAGGGGUGAAGCCUGCGGUUCAAUUGGAGUCAACGCCGGA